UUUCCUCUCGGGGGUUUUAUGCAGUAGUCAUAUGGGCUUGUUUUCAAAGAUUAAGCCAUGCAUGUCUAAGUACAUGCCGUAUUAAGGCGAAACCGCGAAUGGCUCAUUAAAUCAGUCAUGGUUCCUUGGAUCGUACCUUACUACUUGGAUAACUGUGGCAAUUCUAGAGCUAAUACAUGCAGCAGAGCUCCGACCUUCGGGGACGAGCGCUUUUAUUAGACCAAAACCCAAUCGGACCUCGUGUCCGUCUCUUGUGGUGACUCUGUAUAACUUUGGGCUGAUCGCACGGGCCUGUCCCGGCGACGUAUCUUUCAAGUGUCUGCCUUAUCAACUUUCGAUGGUAGGUUACGCGCCUACCAUGGUCGUAACGGGUAACGGGGAAUCAGGGUUCGAUUCCGGAGAGGGAGCCUGAGAAACGGCUACCACAUCCAAGGAAGGCAGCAGGCGCGCAAAUUACCCACUCCCAGAACGGGGAGGUAGUGACGAAAAAUAACAAUACGGGACUCUUUUGAGACCCCGUAAUUGGAAUGAGUACACUCUAAAUCCUUUAACGAGGAUCCAUUGGAGGGUAAGUCUGGUGCCAGCAACCGCGGUAAUUCCAGCUCCAAUAGCGUAUAUUAAAGUUGUUGCGGUUAAAAAGCUCGUAGUUGGAUCUCAGUUCCAGACGGGUGGUCCUCCUACCGGUGGCUACUGCCUGUUCUGAACAGUCAGCCGGUUUCUCUUGAUGAUCUUCACCGGUUGUCUUGGGUGACCGGCAAGUUUACUUUGAAAAAAUUAGAGUGCUCAAAGCAGGCGUGACGCCUGAAUAAUGGUGCAUGGAAUAAUGGAAUAGGACCUCGGUUCUAUUUUGUUGGUUUUCGGAACACGAGGUAAUGAUUAAGAGGGACAGACGGGGGCAUUCGUAUUGCGACGCUAGAGGUGAAAUUCUUGGACCGUCGCAAGACGAACUACUGCGAAGAUUUUUGCCGAAAGGAA
rnacentral:rRNA from 1 species